UUGGGUGGAUCAGUGGCGAACGGGUGAGUAACACGUGAGCAACCUGCCCCGGACUCUGGAAUAAGCGCUGGAAACGGCGUCUAAUACUGGAUAUGACACCAAUCCGCAUGGGUAUGGUGUGGAAAGUUUUUCGGUCUGGGAUGGGCUCGCGGCCUAUCAGCUUGUUGGUGAGGUAAUGGCUCACCAAGGCGACGACGGGUAGCCGGCCUGAGAGGGCGACCGGCCACACUGGGACUGAGACACGGCCCAGACUCCUACGGGAGGCAGCAGUGGGGAAUAUUGCACAAUGGGCGAAAGCCUGAUGCAGCGACGCCGCGUGAGGGAUGACGGCCUUCGGGUUGUAAACCUCUUUCAGCAGGGAAGAAGCGAAAGUGACGGUACCUGCAGAAGAAGCACCGGCUAACUACGUGCCAGCAGCCGCGGUAAUACGUAGGGUGCGAGCGUUGUCCGGAAUUAUUGGGCGUAAAGAGCUUGUAGGCGGUUUGUCGCGUCUGCUGUGAAAAUCCGGGGCUCAACCCCGGACUUGCAGUGGGUACGGGCAGACUAGAGUGUGGUAGGGGAGACUGGAAUUCCUGGUGUAGCGGUGAAAUGCGCAGAUAUCAGGAGGAACACCGAUGGCGAAGGCAGGUCUCUGGGCCACUACUGACGCUGAGAAGCGAAAGCAUGGGGAGCGAACAGGAUUAGAUACCCUGGUAGUCCAUGCCGUAAACGUUGGGCGCUAGGUGUGGGACUCAUUCCACGAGUUCCGUGCCGCAGCU
rnacentral:rRNA from 1 species